AUUGAACGCUGGCGGCAGGCCUAACACAUGCAAGUCGAGCGAGCGGCGGACGGGUGAGUAAUGUAUGGGGACUGCCCGAUAGAGGGGGAUAACUACUGGAAACGGUAGCUAAUACCGCAUACUAUCGGAUAACCCAUAUGGUAUUAGCUAGUAGGUGAGGUAAUGGCUCACCUAGGCGACGAUCCCUAGCUGGUCUGAGAGGAUGAUCAGCCACACUGGUAAUGAGACACGGCCCAGACUCCGACGGAGGCAGCAGUGGGGAAUAUUGCACAAUGGGCGAAAGCCUGAUGCAGCCAUGCCGCGUGUAUGAAGAAGGCCCGAGGGUUGUAAAGUACUUUCAGUCGGGAGGCGUUACCGACAGAAGAAGCACCGGCUAACGACGUGCCAGCCGCCGCGGUAAUUC
rnacentral:rRNA from 1 species